CGCCUGUUUAUCAAAAACAUCUCUUCUCGUUAGUUUUUGAAGUAUGGCCUGCCCACUGACCUUGAAUGUUGAAGGGCCGCGGUAUUUUGACCGUGCAAAGGUAGCAUAGUCAUUAGUUCUUUAAUUGUGAUCUGGUAUGAAUGGCUUGACGAGGCAUAAGCUGUCUUAAUUUUGAAUUGUUUAUUGAAUUUGGUCUUUGAGUUAAAAUUCUUAGAUGUUUUUGUGGGACGAGAAGACCCUAUAGAGUUUAACAUUUAUUAUGGUCUCUUUCUGUUUGUGAGGGUUCACUAGGGCUGUCUAAUAUGUUUUGUUGGGGUGAUGGGAGGGAUAUUAUUUAACCCCUCCUUUGUGUUGUUAUAUUUAUUUAUAUUUGCUUGAUCCAUUUAUUUUGAUUGUAAGAUUAAAUUACCUUAGGGAUAACAGCGUAA
rnacentral:rRNA from 1 species